CAUAGUGGCCAUACCAGCAUGUCAUUGCCCGAUCUCGUUAGAUCUCUGAAGUUAAGCAGGUCUGGUUCUGGUUAGUAGUUUGAUGGGAGACCACUGAGAAUAUCAGGUGCCACAAUGG
rnacentral:rRNA from 1 species